rnacentral:rRNA from 1 species
AUUGAACGCUGGCGGCAGGCUUAACACAUGCAAGUCGAACGAGUGGCGGACGGGUGAGUAAUGCUUGGGAAUCUAGCUUAUGGAGGGGGAUAACUACGGGAAACUGUAUCUAAUACCGCGUACCAUAGGAUGAGCCCACGUGGGAUUAGGUAGUUGGUUAGGUAAAGGCUCACCAAGCCGACGAUCUCUAGCUGGGCUGAGAGGAUGACAAGCCACACUGGGACUGAGACACGGACCAGACUCCUACGGGAGGCAGCAGUGGGGAAUAUUGCGCAAUGGGGGCAACCUGACGCAGCCAUGCCGCGUGAAUGAAGAAGGCCUUCGGGUUGUAAAGUUCUUUCGGUAGCGAGGCGUUAACUACAGAAGAAGCACCGGCUAACUCCGUGCCAGCAGCCGCGGUAAUUC